rnacentral:rRNA from 1 species
UGGUGCAUGGUUGUCGUCAGCUCGUGUCGUGAGAUGUUGGGUUAAGUCCCGCAACGAGCGCAACCCUUGUGUUUAGUUGCAAACAGGUCAAGCUGUGCACUCUAGACAGACUGCCGUGGACAACACGGAGGAAGGUGGGGAUGACGUCAAAUCAUCAUGCCCCUUAUGAUCUGGGCUACACACGUGCUACAAUGGCCGGUACAACGGGCAGCGAAGGAGCGAUCCGGAGCGAAUCCUAAAAAGCCGGUCCCAGUUCGGAUUGCAGGCUGAAACUCGCCUACAUGAAGUUGGAGUUGCUAGUAAUCGCGAAUCAGAAUGUCGCAGUGAAUGCGUUCCCGGGUCUU